rnacentral:rRNA from 1 species
UACGUAGGCAGCGAGCGUUGUUCGGAGUUACUGGGCGUAAAGCGUGCGUAGGCGGUGUCUUAAGUUUGUUGUGAAAUCUCCCGGCUUAACCGGGAGGGUGCGGCGAAUACUGAGAUGCUGGAGUGCCGGAGAGGUAAGCGGAAUUCCUGGUGUAGCGGUGAAAUGCGUAGAUAUCAGGAGGAACACCUGUGGCGAAAGCGGCGCACUGGACCACAUCUGACGCUGAGGCGCGAAAGCUAGGGGAGCAAACAGG